AGAGUUUGAUCCUGGCUCAGGAUGAACGCUAGCGGCAGGCCUAACACAUGCAAGUCGAACGGUAAGGACCACUUCGGUGGUUACACGAGUGGCGCACGGGUGAGUAACGCGUAUGCAACCUACCCUUAACAGGGGGAUAGCCCGAAGAAAUUCGGAUUAAUACCCCAUAAUACUAUAAAUAAGCAUUUAUUAAUAGUAAAAACUCCGGUGGUUAAGGAUGGGCAUGCGUACCAUUAGAUAGUUGGUAAGGUAACGGCUUACCAAGUCUACGAUGGUUAGGGGGCCUGAGGGGGUGGUCCCCCACACUGGUACUGAGACACGGACCAGACUCCUACGGGAGGCAGCAGUGAGGAAUAUUGCGCAAUGGACGAAAGUCUGACGCAGCCAUGCCGCGUGCAGGAUGACGGCCCUACGGGUUGUAAACUGCUUUUAUACAGGAAGAAAACUUUCAACGUGUUGAGAGUUGACGGUACUGUAAGAAUAAGCAUCGGCUAACUCCGUGCCAGCAGCCGCGGUAAUACGGAGGAUGCAAGCGUUAUCCGGAUUUAUUGGGUUUAAAGGGUGCGUAGGCGGAAUAAUAAGUCAGUGGUGAAAUCCUGCAGCUUAACUGUAGAACUGCCAUUGAUACUGUUAUUCUUGAAUAUAGUUGAGGUAGGCGGAAUGUGUAAUGUAGCGGUGAAAUGCAUAGAUAUUACACAGAACACCGAUUGCGUAGGCAGCUUACUAAGCUAUUAUCGACGCUGAGGCACGAAAGCGUGGGGAUCGAACAGGAUUAGAUACCCUGGUAGUCCACGCUGUAAACGAUGAUCACUAGCUGUUGGCGAUACACCGAUCAGCGGCAAAGCGAAAGCAUUAAGUGAUCCACCUGGGGAGUACGGUCGCAAGAUUGAAACUCAAAGGAAUUGACGGGGGCCCGCACAAGCGGAGGAACAUGUGGUUUAAUUCGAUGAUACGCGAGGAACCUUACCUGGGCUUAAAUGCAGGACGACGAACUGGGAAACCAGUUUUCUCUUCGGAGCGGACUGUAAGGUGCUGCAUGGUUGUCGUCAGCUCGUGCCGUGAGGUGUCGGGUUAAGUCCCAUAACGAGCGCAACCCCUAUCGUUAGUUGCCAGCGGAUCAUGCCGGGGACUCUAACGAAACUGCCGGUGUAAACCGAGAGGAAGGUGGGGAUGACGUCAAAUCAGCACGGCCCUUAUGUCCAGGGCUACACACGUGUUACAAUGGUCGGUACAGAGGGUAGCUACUAUGUAAAUAGAUGCCAAUCUCGAAAACCGGUCUUAGUUCGGAUCGAAGUCUGCAACUCGACUUCGUGAAGCUGGAUUCGCUAGUAAUCGCGCAUCAGCCACGGCGCGGUGAAUACGUUCCCGGGCCUUGUACACACCGCCCGUCAAGCCAUGGAAGCUGGGGGUACCUGAAGUCUGUAACCGCAAGGAGCGGCCUAGGGUAAAACUAGUGACUGGGGCUAAGUCGUAACAAGGUA
rnacentral:rRNA from 1 species